AAUUAUACUGAAGUAGUAAAGGUACGUCUAACACAUCUUUCCCAUCGGCCUAUUUUUGUACCGUAAGUAGCAUAUGUUUCAUCCAUAGGGUGUUUUAGAUUUUGGUAAAUUAGCAUGGGUUGUUUUCUGUAUGGUCAGUAUGAAGGAAUUGGAAAGGCCAACCUUUGAUGCUAUCUUUGACAGGUAAGAGAACCAAAAUGAGCUUUCUGAGGCAUGUAUUUGUUAUAUGCAGUGGAUCUUCACUAUGUACUGAAUCAGGGCAAAUAAGAGUAGCAGCAAAAAUUCUGCAUAUGGGCGAUACUUAGUGAUUUGUUGAUAAUGAGUUUUGCUCCAUUAACUAGUGAUUGUCUUGCCUAGAGAAAACUACAAUAAGAGUAGGUGCAGAACUGAGGCGUUACUUAGUUGUUUUUCUAGAAAUCUACUUGUGUAUUUGUUAGAUUCUUUUGUGAUUUGUUUGCACCUGUGAUUUCUGAAGUAACCAAUCUUAUUUCAUGUUGAUGCAAGAUGUGACCAGACUGGAUCUGCCUUCUGGAUAGCGAGCAGCAGUGCUUGGGCCGGUGGUUCCAUGGAGAUGUUCUUCUGCUGCUAUGUGGUAUACAACUAAUGAGAAUUGAAUAGGGAUAGUUAGUGAUUUGAUUUGAGGAUGAAUUUUGUGAGGAUGUGUGCUGGUCAUCUACUGAAUAAAAUUAUUUUUACUCAAUCUACUUUGGUGCAUGAUGAGUUGAAAGGCACAUCUGUAGGUAUAAGAGGAUAGGAAUGUUUGAGAAUUAAUAUGCUAGGAACAUCUGAUAAUCAGUACGGAGUAUGUUAAGAAAUUAGUAAGUUGAGAAUAUUGUUAUAGGUUUAUCUAAAAGAUCUACAUGCUUUUAGUAUGUAGUCCUGAGCUGAUCUAUCUAAUUAAACUAGAACCGUUAUAUCUUGUUCCACAAUCAGUAUUAUUUUAACUGCUUAUUGCUUCCUUAUUUUAGGCAUAUAGUGCACAUAGUUAAUUACAAGUGACUGGGAUGCAGAGCCCACAGACCUACGGUAUGGAAACAGGCAUAGAGUUGGUGCUAUCUAAGGUGGAUGCACAUGGCGGCGUAGGGCAGCAGGGAAGCACCUUGCCUUUCAUGUCGAUUGGCAUUGGGUCAAUGGUGAUAAGUGUAGCUUUACUAACAUGUACAGAACCACCUUUAGUAUUUGUUGAUGUUCCACUACACUUGUCAUCAUGUGAAUAUUUUAAACUAGGCAACCAUUAGUGUGUAUGCUACUUAUAAUGUUGUAACUGUAUUGCAUUUUAAAACCUGAAUGCUUGUGAUAUUGCAAGGAUUUGUGGAGAUUACUUAUUUGAAUC